rnacentral:piRNA from 1 species
UGGAGUUUAGUCCUAACUAAUGAGUUC